rnacentral:lncRNA from 1 species
CAGGACAGCAUAUCUUGAUGCAUAUCCUUCAGUGAGAUGCAAUGUCAUAGCAUCAUUCAUUUUUAUAGUUCUAAAAAAAUAAUCAUUUAAUGUUAAGAUCCAAAGUAUCUGAAAGCAAACUAGCAUAAGGCAGGUCUGAGUGCUGGAGAGUUAAAACAUGAGUGAUCAUUUUGAAAACACCUCCUUUGCAGGAGAAAGGGUUGCCAACAUCACAUUCCUGAGCAGAAUUUACUGUGGAAAUACUGGCAACAUGUAAUAUGUGACAAUUACAUUUAAUUUUACUUGAGACUGUCAGAAUCAGCACCUGGAAAGUCACAAGGACUUUACCAAUGUUUAAGUGAAGAAAUACAUUGCUGUUAAAAACCAAGGUCCAAACAUCUUAAAACUUUAAAUAUGAAAAAUGGAGAGCAUAAAAAAGCAAUAUGGGAGAACUGCAGAGAGGAGGAAGAGGCUGUGGAAGCAGUCUGUGGACAGGACUAAGAAAGAACAUGACCAAGUCCAACCUGAAGUUUCUCCGCAACACAGCAGAGAGAAACCUUUUUGUUUCCUGUAAUGAAUCAAGAGGACCCAUGUCUGGAUUGCUGCAAAGGACAUUGUGUGCUCUGGUGAUGUGUCUGAGCAAUGUGGUGACUGUAGGCGGACAUCCUCGGUGCUGUGUUGUGGGGAUGAAUAGAUGUCUCGUGCCUGGAAUAAGGAAUGCAGGAGAAGAAAACAGUCAUCUGUAGAGCUCCAUCAAAGGCAGGCAUCGUGCAGAACUGGAUGUCCAGAGGCUUCAUGUCCAGAGAUUUCAUCUGUUGACAGGCAAGUUACUUCCAUGGAAAGCCUGACUUUUUUGGGUCAGAGAUCUGGUUGUUAGAGCUGCAGACUUCCCACAAACGUGCGAGGUCAAGAUGAUCUCUGCUCCGAACAGAGAAAGUUAUUGUGAACGUGCCAAACCCUCUAAAAUUUAGACUGUAAGUUUUUGAGUUGGGAAUCCCAAAUUAAGUGACACAUUUGAGAAUGUUCACAUCGGUCUUUGCCUCAGUUUUUAUGCAUGUAAACCAGAGACAAUGAUUUCACAUUUCCUCAUAGUUGUAUCAUGAAGGUAUAAUCUUAAAUGCAGCAAAAAAUAUAAACUGUUAUGAUGUCCCCAAAAGAAGAAGGGGAGAAGAAAACAAUAGUUUUGUAACCAGUGCAGAGCUGGACAGUGCAUGCAUGAAGCCACAAGCUGGAUAAAGCUAAAAUAUAAUACUGAAAAAUAGCCCAGUUUCAUAAGCCUUGUUUUCUUUAGAUGAGGAAGAAAAUUAGGAAAAAUAAGACAUUGUAAUGCAAUUAAAGACUGUGCUGUGGCACAUAGGCAGAAAGAAGCCAAAUAAAAGUUUGUUGCUUACCUUAAUACUGAUUCCC